rnacentral:rRNA from 1 species
GACGAACGCUGGCGGCGUGCUUAACACAUGCAAGUCGAACGGAAAGGCCCCUUUGGGGGUACUCGAGUGGCGAACGGGUGAGUAACACGUGAGUAACCUGCCCUUGACUUCGGGAUAACUUCAGGAAACUGGGGCUAAUACCGGAUAGGAAUCCUUGCUGCAUGGUGGGGGUUGGAAAGCUUUGGCGGUUUUGGAUGGACUCGGGGCUUAUCAGCUUGUUGGUGGGGUAGCGGCUUACCAAGGCUUUGACGGGUAGCCGGCCUGGGAGGGGGACCGGCCACAUUGGGACUGAGAUACGGCCCAGACUCCUACGGGAGGCAGCAGGGGGGAAUAUUGCACAAUGGGCGGAAGCCUGAUGCAGCAACGCCGCGUGCGGGAUGACGGCCUUCGGGUUGUAAACCGCUUUCAGCAGGGGCGAAGCUUUUGUGACGGUACCUGCAGAAGAAGCACCGGCUAACUACGUG